CCAGCAUGCCGUACACAAAAUUUAUAACAACCUCGUCCUCAAACCCAAUUAGUUCGUUCAAUCGAGUCGCAAUCCAAGGUUUAAGGACUUCAAUAUUCACUUUUUUCAUGUCAACCUAAAUAAAUUAAUGUCUUGAACGUAACAGCGCCUGAAAGAAUGCAGCAAAUCUUGUACCUUAGUAUCAUAACUAGCAGGAAACUUUGUACUUCGCAUCAACUUCUUGUCUGCAGUCGUAAAUAGGGUUUCCUGCUCGGCGGCAACACCCUUUUAAUGUUAGCUUUGGUUAAAAUGACACAUUCUUUACUCAAACUACAUACCUUAUAAAACCCACUCAUUUUGACCAAGAAUGAAAGAAGGCAGCAAUAAACAGUCAAAUAUUAAGAAAUCGUCGUCAACGUAUUUUCUCACCUCCC